rnacentral:rRNA from 1 species
AGUGGCGGACGGGUGAGUAACGCGUGGGUAACCUACCCUGUACAGGGGGAUAACAGUCAGAAAUGACUGCUAAUACCGCAUAAGACCACAGCACCGCAUGGUGCAGGGGUAAAAACUCCGGUGGUACAGGAUGGACCCGCGUCUGAUUAGCUGGUUGGUGAGGUAACGGCUCACCAAGGCGACGAUCAGUAGCCGGCUUGAGGGAGUGAACGGCCACAUUGGGACUGAGACACGGCCCAAACUCCUACGGGAGGCAGCAUG